rnacentral:rRNA from 1 species
UACAGAGGGGGCAAGCGUUGUUCGGAAUUACUGGGCGUAAAGGGCGCGUAGGCGGCCUUCUAAGUCGAACGUGAAAUCCCCGGGCUCAACCCGGGAACUGCGUCCGAUACUGGAAGGCUUGAAUCCGGGAGAGGGAUGCGGAAUUCCAGGUGUAGCGGUGAAAUGCGUAGAUAUCUGGAGGAACACCGGUGGCGAAGGCGGCAUCCUGGACCGGCAUUGACGCUGAGGAGCGAAAGCUAGGGGAGCAAACGGG